GACGAACGCUGGCGGCGUGCCUAAUACAUGCAAGUUGAGCGAUGAAGAUUGGUGCUUGCCCCAAUUUGAAGAGCAGCGAACGGGUGAGUAACGCGUGGGGAAUCUGCCUUUGAGCGGGGGACAACAUUUGGAAACGAAUGCUAAUACCGCAUAACAACUUUAAACAUAAGUUUUAAGUUUGAAAGAUGCAAUUGCAUCACUCAAAGAUGAUCCCGCGUUGUAUUAGCUAGUUGGUGAGGUAAAGGCUCACCAAGGCGAUGAUACAUAGCCGACCUGAGAGGGUGAUCGGCCACAUUGGGACUGAGACACGGCCCAAACUCCUACGGGAGGCAGCAGUAGGGAAUCUUCGGCAAUGGACGAAAGGCUGGACGAGCAACGCCGCGUGAGUGAAGAAGGGUGUCGGAUCGGAAAACUCUGUUGGUAGAGAAGAACGUUGGUGAGAGUGGAAAGCUCAUCAAGUGACGGUAACUACACAGAAAGGGACGGCUAACUACGUG
rnacentral:rRNA from 1 species